GAGUUUGAUCAUGGCUCAGGAUGAACGCUGGCGGCGUGCCUAACACAUGCAAGUCGAACGAAGCAUAUAGAAGGAAGUUUUCGGAUGGAAUUUUAUAUGACUUAGUGGCGGACGGGUGAGUAACGCGUGGAUAAUCUGCCUUACACAGCGGGAUAACAAGUGGAAACAGUUGCUAAUACCGCAUAAGCACACAGUAUCGCAUGAUACAGGGUGAAAAGAUUUAUCGGUGUAAGAUGAGUCCGCGUCCCAUUAGCUAGUUGGUGAGGUAAAAGCUUACCAAGGCGACGAUGGGUAGCCGGCCUGAGAGGGUGAACGGCCACAUUGGGACUGAGACACGGCCCAGACUCCUACGGGAGGCAGCAGUGGGGGAUAUUGCACAAUGGGCGAAAGCCUGAUGCAGCGACGCCGCGUGAAGGAUGAAGUAUUUCGGUAUGUAAACUUCUAUCAGCAGGGAAGAAAAUGACG
rnacentral:rRNA from 1 species